GCCGUCUGCCUCGACUGGAAGCUCCGGAAACUGGAAGAAAGAUGUGAACGAGACAGAUGAGCGCCACAGUCUGACCAGUCAUCGUCUGUCUGUUUUCACAAUACACAAGUGAGCGUCUGACCUCCACAUUACCUCAUUCACCUGCUCAGGUGCGCUGAAGAUCUGCAGUAUGGCAGCAGACAGUAGUAGAGGACAGCUCUAACAAGAAAAGGAAAAAAGAGCCAUCACUCCUUCCCAAACAAGGUUGAGAUGUCAAAGAAAUAACACCAGGAGCAGACUUUCUUUUGAAGAGAACCGGAUCCCAGCUCAUCUAGCGCUAUUGGGGGACCAGGACUCUGGAUGCAGGAACGUAAUAAUGACGGAUGGUGCUGAUUGGACAUCUUGUGUGAAUUAAAGUGGGUUUGACUGUGCUCCGUGUCCCUGCGUGCGGCAGAUCGGAUAACAAAGCCAGGCUUGUGAAGGUAAACCGAUCCUAUCACCAGACUCCAUUCGGCAGCUCCACGGGUCGGUCCACAGAAAAGUUUCUCUG